GUGGGGAAUAUUGGACAAUGGGCGAAAGCCUGAUCCAGCCAUGCCGCGUGUGUGAAGAAGGUCUUCGGAUUGUAAAGCACUUUAAGUUGGGAGGAAGGGCAGUAAGUUAAUACCUUGCUGUUUUGACGUUACCGACAGAAUAAGCACCGGCUAACUUCGUGCCAGCAGCCGCGGUAAUACGAAGGGUGCAAGCGUUAAUCGGAAUUACUGGGCGUAAAGCGCGCGUAGGUGGUUUUGUAAGUUGGAGGUGAUAUCCCCGGGAUCAACCAGGGAACUGCCUACAAAACUGCAUGACUAGAGUACGGUAGAGGGUAGUGGAAUUUCCUGUGUAGCGGUGAAAUGCGUAGAUAUAGGAAGGAACACCAGUGGCGAAGGCGACUACCUGGACUGAUACUGACACUGAGGUGCGAAAGCGUGGGGAGCAAACAGGAUUAGAAACCCGGGUAGUCC
rnacentral:rRNA from 1 species